ACUCCUACGGGAGGCAGCAGUGGGGAAUAUUGCACAAUGGGCGCAAGCCUGAUGCAGCCAUGCCGCGUGUAUGAAGAAGGCCUUCGGGUUGUAAAGUACUUUCAGCAGUGAGGAAGGUGGGUAUGUUAAUAGCAUACUCAUUUGACGUUAGCUGCAGAAGAAGCACCGGCUAACUCCGUGCCAGCAGCCGCGGUAAUACGGAGGGUGCGAGCGUUAAUCGGAAUUACUGGGCGUAAAGCGCAUGCAGGUGGUUUGUUAAGUCAGAUGUGAAAGCCCGGGGCUCAACCUCGGAAUUGCAUUUGAAACUGGCAAACUAGAGUACUGUAGAGGGGGGUAGAAUUUCAGGUGUAGCGGUGAAAUGCGUAGAGAUCUGAAGGAAUACCGGUGGCGAAGGCGGCCCCCUGGACAGAUACUGACACUCAGAUGCGAAAGCGUGGGGAGCAAACAGGAUUAGAUACCCUGGUAGGCUCAGC
rnacentral:rRNA from 1 species